rnacentral:rRNA from 1 species
GACGAACGCUGGCGGCGUGCUUAACACAUGCAAGUCGAACGAAGAGCGCCGGAGGCUUGCUUCUAUCACUCAUAGUGGCGAAAGAGUGAGUAACGCGUCAUCAACCUUCCCUUCAAAGGGGGACAACAGGUGGUAACGCCUGCUAAUACAGCAUACGACCUAAUCUCGGCAUCGAGGGUGGUUGGAAGGUGGCCUCUACCUGUAACCUUUCACUGAAGGAGGGGGUUGUGUCGGAUUAGCUAGUCGGAGGGGAACCGGCCCACCAAGGCGAGGAGCAGUAGUCGGACUGAGAGGAUGGGCGGCCACAUUGGGACGGAGACACGGCCCAGACGCCUUGGGGAGGGAGCAGUGGGGCAUCGUCCGCAAUGGACGAGAGUCUGACGGAGCAACGCCGCGUGAGGGAGGACGGCCUUCGGGUUGUAAAGCUCGGUUAAUCGGGACGAAAGGCCUUCUUGCGAAUAGUGAGAAGGAUUGACGGUACCGGAAUAGAAAGCCACGGCUAACUACGUG